rnacentral:tRNA from 1 species
UGUCCGGGUAGAGCAGCGGUAGCUCGCCAGCCUCAUAAGCUGGAGGUCGAUGGUUCGAUCCCAUCCCCGGCAACCA